CUGAUGGGCAAAAACUCACAUUGGAACCAUCAAUGUCAACAGGUUACCAUGUCACCUGCUCACUGGGACAGAUUUACUUAGUAUAAAUAGCUUGUCUGCAGAAUGGACAACAGAAGAGAGAUAUGUCGCACGUGAGGGAAACAACUCUGUCUCUACACCUUCUGAAGUUUCUGUCCUCCCAAACCUAGACUCUGGUCCACCAACUAAGUUUGCCAGUCAAAAGGAUCCAGGGUCAAAGAGAAAAAUCACAGUCCGUUUAGGUGUGCAUGUGGCACUCUUUGGUCCAAGAGAAUUUAUUGUCCCUGAGUUACUUUUUGCCCUAUACAAAGAGCCAGUUCUCUACAGUCUUGGAGAGAACAGAGGGGUGCUUUCCCUGCGAAUACUGGGAAUAAGAAAGAGUGACCUCUGACCACUGAGAU